CACGUAGGGCGCAAGCGUUGUCCGGAAUUAUUGGGCGUAAAGGGCGCGUAGGCGGCUCGGCACGUCCGUUGUGAAAUCGCCCGGCUCAACUGGGCGGGGUCGGCGGAUACGGCCGAGCUGGAGCAAGCUAGGGGGUAAUGGAAUUCCCGGUGUAGUGGUGGAAUGCGUAGAUAUCGGGAGGAACACCAGUGGCGAAGGCGGUUACCUGGAGCUUUGCUGACGCUGAUGCGCGAAAGCGUGGGGAGCAAACAGG
rnacentral:rRNA from 1 species